GUUGUUGCUAGCAUACUUACAUAGUUAGAUAGCUAGCUCUACAUUGACUGACAAAACCAAUUGUUGUUGCUAGCUUACUUACAUAGUUAGAUUAGCUAGCUCUACAUUGACUGACAAAAAAAAUGGUUCGUCUGUUUAAAUUAUCCUGAAGUUGUAGACAUGCAGCCCCAAAAUUAAAGGGACAUUUCACCGCUGCUCUUUCACAGUAUAAGACCAUUAAUAUGUUAUUAAGAUAUAAUAUGUGUCAUACACAUCUUGAAUUUCCUCACUACACGCAAAUACAUGCAUUUCUGCAUCUGAACAGUAGGAAAGGGCCAGCUAUAUUUCCUGGUUGUAAGCUAACCACAAUAUCCAGAACUGAUAGCGAUUACAAGAUGUAGUUCCACCCCUGUCGAGGUGGAUCCAGUUGAGCUGAGAAUGGGCGUCAACAGGUAGCUAAUAUCACUCACUGGACCAGCCAUAGAACAUCAGCUAACAACAACUAUCUAUUUUUAUUUUUGUGUUGACAACAACUGCAAAGUUUAGUGUAUGUGCAACUACAAGCAAGUACAGGCUUCUGGGGUAACAUUUCAUCAGUUACCUGCCGGAGAUAUUCCUCGGAGCCGACAGUGGCUGGCGGCAAUAAAGAACGCUGCUUAUAAUGUGAAUCCUCCCGUGGAGAAUUCGGUGUUUAAGGCCAGCACUUUCAGUCUGCGGAUUUCGAAAAUGACCUGAAAAAUAUGAUCUCAAAUGAUGGGGUUGCCAGGUCACAGAAAGUUGAAAAGUGAAGCUAUUCCAUUGUUUCCCCCAUCACUUCAAAGAGGAAGGCAUCCAAUCAGCCAACAUCAGCGCAGCAGAAAACAAGUCGAGCAGAGAGUCCGAUCCCAUCAACAUCAAGCUCAGCACCAGGAACUAGUGAGACUUUCAGUGCAAACAAAUCUUCUUCAAGAGGUCAAAGUAGUGGGUGAUGUAGAGUGUACGAGCCCAGAACUGACCACUUCAGGGAGAGGCUUGUCCACCUGGCUGCGGAGCGGAGAACGGACAUGACGGCGGUCUACAAGCAACCAGUCACAGCUUCCCAAACCCAACAACCCUGCCAACAGCGCCAAAGCCUGCUAAACCAGCUGCCAAAAACAAGGUUCACCAGCUGAAGAACAUUCAGGACCCUGUCUGGAACAUUCAGCCUACACAACGUCCAUAUUCAUUUAGACUGAUGUUGUACUAUCAUAUAGAAUGCCUAGUAUGCUCACAACUGCAUUGUGGUAUAGAUAUUGCUAGCUCUUGUAUAUAGUGGAGUUUGAUCAAAUGUUUUAUAUAAUCUUUUUUACAAGGGUAUUGACAAAUGACUAAAUGAUUCCAGCAGCAUCAGAAAACAAAGUAUUGACUUCAACUUCUGGAUCAAUUCAUUGUGGUAUUCAUGUAAUGUAUUUGGAAGUAACUAGCUACAAUAUUGAUGCUAAAACAA